ACAAGGAUCUUUAAUCACAGGUAAUAAUGGUUUUGAUCAUUCACAUAAAAAUGGUCUUCAUAUCCUAGGUUAUAAGAUUGUGAGAUCCCUCCAGGUUAAAAGGUUCUCAAUGCACCAGGUAACAAUAUUCUCAGAUCAAGCCGGUAACAAUGGGUCUUUAUCCCCACAAGUUAUAUAGCCUCAGAUCAGCCAGGUAACAAUGGUCCCAAGGUUACCAUGUUCUUAGUUCAGUUAAGUAACAAUGGUCUCUGCCCCCACAAGUUCCAGCGUUCUCAGAUCAGUAAGAUGACAAUGGUCUUAUCCUCCUAGCCUACAAUGUUUUUAAAUCAGUCAGAAAACAGUGGUCUUGAUCUGCUCUAGAUUACAAAGUUUUCAAAUCAUGUAACAGUGGUCUUGAUACCCCAAGGUCACAAUGUUCUCAGAUUGGCCAAUUGUUAACCCACAAGGUUACAAUGAUCGGAUCGGAUCUGAUCAGAUAGGUAGCAAUAGUCUUUGUCCCCUAAGUUACAAGAGUGUCAGUUCAAACAGGUAACAGUGGUCUUGAUAACCUAAGGUUACAAUGUUUUCAGAUCACCCAAGUAACAAUGGUCUUUAAUUCCUACAAGUCACCAUCUUCUCAGAUCAGUCAGAUAACAAUUAUUUUGAUUCUCUUUGGUUAAAAUGUUCUCAGAACAGUAAGGGAACAAUGGUAUCUAACCCCCGUGGUUUUAAUGUUCUAGAUCAGUCAGGAAAAAAUGGUCUUGCUCUCCCCAGGUUACAAUGUUCUUGGGUCAACCAAGUAACAAAGGUCCCUACAAGUUACGAUGUCCUCAAACCAAUCAGGUAACAAUUGUCUUGAUUCUCCCAGGUGACAAUAUUCUCAGAAUAUCCAGGUAAUAAUGAUAUCUAUCCCCAAAGAUUAUAAUGUUUGCAGAUCAGUCAAGUAACAAUGGUGUUAUUCUCACAGGUCAUAAUGUUCUAAGACCAUCUAAGCAACACUGGUCAAGGUCUCCCAAGGUUAUAUUGUUCUCAGAUCACACAGGUAACAAUAGUCUUUAUCCCCCAAGGAUAUGGUGUUUUCAGAGAAGUCACCUAACAAUGGUUUUGGUUCUCUCAGGUUCCCUAUUCUCAGAUCAGCCAGGUAAGAACAGUCUUUAUUCUGAGGUUACAAUGCUCUCAGAUACAUUGGGUGGCAAUGGUCUUUAUCCUCACAAGUUCAUGUGGUCAGAACGGCCACAUAACAAUUAUCUUGAUCUCCAUGUUAUAAUGUUCUUAGAUUACACAUAUAAAAAUGGUCUUUAGUGCCCCUAAGAUUGAAAUUUUUGUAGAUCAGUCAGGUAACAGUGGUCUUGAUUUUCCCAGGUUACAAUGUUCUCACAUUAGUCAGGUAACAAUUGACUAUACCCCCACUUAACUAUAUUUCCAGAUCAGCCAGGUGACAAGGGCCUUUAUCCCCCCCAGCUUACAAUGUUUGCCGAUCAGUCAGGUAACACUGGGCUUGAUGAUACUCCAAGGUCACAAUAGAUGCAGAUCAUCCAAGUUACAUAGUCUUAGUUUAUCCCCAUAAGGAACAUCAGCCUCAAAUCAGUCAGGCAACAUGGUUUUCAUCAGCUAACAUAACAACAUUCUCAAAUCAUUCAAGUAAUAAUGGUCUUCAUCUCACAAGUUACAGUAUUCUGGGAUCAGAACAGUAGCAAUGGUCCUUAUCCCCCAAGGUCACAAUGAUUUCAGAUCAGUCAGGGAACAAUGGUCUUGAUUCCUUUCUGGUUACAAUGCUUUCAAGUCAGCUAAUAAUGUUCUUAGCUCUCUCCAUGUUACAAUGUUUUCAUCUCAGGUAAGAAUGGCUUUGUUGCCCUAAGGAUACAGUGUUUCAGGUCAGGCACAUAACAAUGGUCUUGAACCUCUCCGUCUUACAGUGCUUUCAAAUCGGCUAACAAUAGUCUUGUUCCCACAUGGUUACUGGGUGCUCAGAACAGCCAGUAAACAAUGUUUUUUACCCCAACAGUUACAAUAUCCUCAGAUCAGGGAACAAUGGCCUUUAUCCCCAUACUUUAGAAUGUUAUUAGAUCAGGUCAAGUAACAAUGGUCUUGAUUCUCCCAGGUUACAAUGUUCUCAAAGAAGAACAAGUUGUUCUCCAUUGUUACACUGUUCUCAGAUCAGUCAGAUAACAAUGGUUAGAAUUCCCCCAAAUUACAACUAUAAUCCUGGUAACCAGUAACUUUAUCCUCCAAGCUACAGUGUUUUCAGAUCAGCCAAAUAACAAUGCUCUUUGUCUCUCUGGGUUACAGCAUUUUAAAGUCAGACAGAUAAUAACGGUCUUAAUCCCCAGAAGUCACCAUGCUCUCAGAUCAGUAAGGUAACAAUCAUGGUCUUCAUACAUACUCUUCACAUUAUAGUGCUUUCAAACUGGGUAACAAUCCUCUUGUUCCUCAAUGGUUACAAUAUUUCCAAAUAAAUCAAGUAGCAAUGGUCUUAGAAGCACCCCCAUAACCAUUUACAAUGUUCUUAGAUCAUUUAUGUAUCAGUGAUCUUUAUCCCCACUAUUUAUUGUUCUCAGAUCAGUCACAUAACAAUAGACUUACUUCUCUCAAUUUACAAUGUUCUCAGAUCUGUCGGGACACAACGGUUUCAUUUCCCAAAUUUAAAUGUUCUUAGAUUAGUAAAGUAACAAUACUCUUUGUCCUCCAAGUUUAUAGUGUUCUCAAAUCUGUCAGUUAAUAACUGUCAGGAUUCUCCCAGGUUACAGUGUUCUCCAAACAGCCAGGUAACAAUCGUCUUGAUCUCCACAAGUUAUAGUGUCAUCAGAUUAGUCAGGUAACGAUGGCCUUUCUCCUCACACUUUACAAUGUUCAGAUCCAUCAGGUGGCUGUGGUCUUGAUUCUCCCAGAGUCCAACGUUCUCUGAGAACCCUGGUAACAAGUGACGUUAUCCUCCAAGCUACUACAGUGUUCUCAGAUGAGCCAUAUUACCAUAUUCCAACUUACCAUAUUUUCACAUCAGCUGGGUAAUAAUAAUCUUUUACUCCCAUGUUAAAAUGUUUUCAUAUCAGUCAAGAAACAAUGCUGUUGAUUCUCCCAAGGUUACAAUGUUCUCAGACCAGACACACAACAUAGUCUUUAUCCCCCAAAGAAACGAAGUUCUCAGAGUAGUCAGGUAACAAUGAUCUUGAUUCUCCUAAGUAACAAUGUUCUCAGAUAAGCAAGUAACAAUGGUGUUGAUUCUCACAGGUUCUAAUGUUCUAAGAUCAUCCAAGCAACACUGGUCAGGCUCUCCCAAGGUUACAUUGUUCUCAGAUCACACAGACGGAACCCAGCACAACUGUCUCCUCUGUGAUGCUUCACUCAGCAGCCGAUGGAAAGACACGCAGAGACUCACACCCAAAUAUUAGAUAGAACUCAGGGAGUCCUAUGGAAGUGUUGGGAAAAGAACUGGGGAGUACCCCAAAGUCUGAAUCACCAUCCAAGAGCAGGCAUGGGUUGGACCUAGGCCCCACGCACAUGGCCAGCUUGAUCUUCAUGCUUACGCCCGGAUCUCGGUGCCACGUCGGUGUGGGCAUCAACAUCCUCCCACAGCCUAACAGUAACAUUGAUCUCACCCAGUCCUUCUCCCCAGGUACCUGCUACUCCCACCACCUCUCCCCAGGUAACAAGGUUCUCCACUCCACCAGAUGACCAGUGGUUCUCAGCUCCUCCAAUUCACAGUUGGAUUGGUUCCUCCAGGUAACAGGUGGCAGUGCUCACAGCAGCUCCAGGGGGUCAGUGGUUCUCAGCACCCCAGGUAACGAUUUCCCAGCUCAGCCAGGUAACCAAUGCUCUCACUCUCCCAGGUACUAAUGUUAUCAACACUCAGAUACCAAAUCUCAGCCUCCCAGGGGAUCAAUGUUCUCACAGCUCCACAAGGUCCUAGUGAUGUCCUGCCCUGAGGUGUGUGUCCUCACCUGCUAUGCCCCAGUGUUCUCACCUCCCUGAGGCAGCAGUGACUCUCGAAAUUAGAACUGUGUCAUGUCCUCCAGGUAGCAGGUAUGUGAGCUCACCCAAAGCAACAGUGUUUUUCACUCUUCUGGACAGCAGUGGUUCCCAGGACACUGGGUAAGUUUUCCCAGUUCACCCCCAGCCAAUGGUAAUCUCAGCUCACCAGAUACUAGUGACUCUGGUUUCUUCCUGAGACAAUGGUAUGCUUGCCGGCUUCUUAAUCCAUUUCUCAGCUUGCCCUAGUAACAGCAGUCUGUGAUCACUGGGUAACUGCCAACUUAGUUCACAGGUUACAGUGGUGCCAGCCCCUCCCAAGGGUCAGGGUGGAAUGGGAUGCAGGCAGGAGCCACUUUGGCGGAAUUCAGGGAUGGCGCCUUGACUCUUUGCCCUGCGAAGUGUCACUCCCUCUCUCGGAUUCUACAACUCGGCAUUGAAAAGGUCGAGUGCCUUCUGAAGUGUCUAUGUUCUCCACAGUGUUGUGGCCUGAUGGCAGUCCCGCUCUGCCCUUACCCCUUACCCACAUCAAGCCCACUCCCCCAGUGACGUGGGUUCUUUCUUACCUGAUUCACCAAGGAAUUUGAAACUGCUUGAGACCUCCCUUUUCUGUUAGUGUAAAAACAGGUGGCCACUCGCGAUGCUGCACCUUAGACACCAUGGCUUCACCUGUGAACAGGCACCACCGUGAGAGACAUCAGCUUCCCCAACUGCAAUCAAAUGUUCCCCCCAGGGUAGUUGGUUAGUUCCAUGGUUCAAGGCUUCCGGGCACCUGUCUGUCAUGCCCUGGCUUUCCCAGGGCACCUGUUCUAGGCUUCUACCAAAACUCCACAAGCUCUUCUUGAUGGAGCUGGCCAUGAUGCCCCCCCACCCAAACCUCGUGCCACUCAAGCCUGGAUUCCCAAACAGAGGCAGCUGUUGGAAAACAUUAUGAUUCCAGCUCUGGGAAGGCCAAAUUCUGCUCAGCUGGGAGUUCUGGACCUAUCCAGGAUGGGGGGAGGGGUUACCACUGCGGGAUGGGGGUAGCCUCCCUCCAAGUUGGGCAGCAGUACUGCUGUGUUGUAAAACAUAUUUAAUCUCAAUUAGGAUUUCUGCCCUGCCUUUGAUCAUUUAGUUCCCAGAUAAAAGGCACACACGACCUUUAAUUUAUAAUAAGCCUUAAGCACCACUGGCGCUGGGCAGAUAUCUGUCCUCUAUGGUGUUAUGUCUUGGCCUGCCAAUAAUCCCACUAUAUGAUUUGCUGUGUUCUGCCCAGGCUGCUUUUAACGCCAAUUAGCCAACCCAUAUAAGCCAUUAUUUUAUGAUUCUUACCUCAUAAUGACUUCUCCUCUUUCUCCUCAUGGUCUCCUCAGAUCCCAAGCCUGAGUACCCCAGACUCCACCACGUCUCUUCUGCCCAUCUAUUAGCUGUUGGCAUCUUUAUUUAACCAAUAGUUUUAAGUCCAGGAGUAAGGUCACAUUGUACAAGUAGAUUCUUUCCUUCCCAAGAGCAACCAGGCCUUGGGAUCCAGUACUUAACCAUCAUAAUACAUGUUAAAAGAUCACUGUGCAGACCUCCCCAGCAUGCUCAUGAGUAUAGAGGGCAUGUCCAGUUAGAGAGGCAUUUGCCAGACACACCUAGGUUCUUCACUUGGAGGCUGCUCAACCCCAAACCCCAAGAAUAGAUGAAGGAAACUACCCAAUGGUUCUCUAGGCAGAACCUCGAGUUCUUGGCAGACCCUAGCCAACAGAGUCCCAUGAUUCAACUGGGCUGUUCACUUCACAGACCGCUACAAAUGGGUCAUUUCCUCAGCUCAGGUCUUUCCAAGAGCAGGGCCAUAGUCAAGUUCUCCACCGGCCAAGCAUAAUGGGGGCAUGAAGUACAAUGAAAAGUCCCAAGCAUCUGCUGGGUGCUCUCGGAGAAGCUGGCCUGCAGGUACCUGUUGGGAGUUGCCAACAUUCCGAUGACAUUGAGAGACAAGGACAGGGAUACGAGUUCCCAAAGAGUCAAAGACCUAAGCCCUCAGAGCCACACAAGCCACAAGGAUGCAGCAGAGGCAAGGCAGGAGGGGAUGAAGAGAGACCAAUAUGGGCUGGUUGGUCUGGAGUCCCCGGAAGAGCCAACUCAAAGGCCACUGGCCAAAUGCAUGGGAAGCAACCUGGAGAGGGGAGGCAAGCUUGGAGACUAGCUAACUGAAGCAGCUGCCGUCACCUCAGGCAGGGCCAAGCCCUGCGCUGCCGUAUCAGAGUGCCACUGACAGAAUAAUUUGCAACGAACAGAGAAACACUGUGACUCACUGUCCUGGAGGCUGCAGAGGCCAGCAGCAGCAACACAUUUCUGCUACGGUUGCUACCCUACUCUCUAUGGGGGAGGGUGGUGUGUCCUGAGGGUAGAGUGGGGGGAGGCAGAGGAUCAAAGCAAACAAAAGACAAGACUGAAAGAAAAAGAGGCCAACCCAUUCUCACAGUCACAGACCUACUUCCACGGAGCAGUAUUAAUUUACCUCACCGUCCCGGACCGCCGGCCUCUCAUCAGUCCCUCUUCUUAAAGAUGAGGUUCCCAACACACUCUUUGGUGAUACACCCGGACCAUAUAACACACGGGAUGCAAGCGUGCUUGCCUUGUGUCCCAGGAAAACGAUGAGCUCGAUACUAUUGGCUUAUAGAAGCAAAACACACCCUGAGGUGGAGGAUAGAGAGAGCACCAACUCCAAGGGGGGGCCUUCACUGUGUGCACUCUUGCUGACAGAGAUCUUAGCCUGUGACCUUACCUGACCUGGCCCCAGGGACAGCACUGGGAUCCCCAACACUGUAUUCCCUUCUCACAAAUUGUCCUUCAAAAUCAGAGGGGGCUUCAGCACUUGAAACACUGCUUGCUACAAGCUUCCCGGAGUCUGAGACCAAACUCAUCUCCUCACUUCCAGCACCUUCUGAGCUGACUGAGGCAAGUGUGGAUCCAACCCCUAGAGUCCUUCCUUGGAUACGUAAUUGGGUGACUGUCACUCAACAUGAACGAGGCUAAGAUGCUCAGCUGGGGGACCAGGGCACCAUGCUAGGAGCUGGGGCUGACCAGGCUGAGCAGACAGACCCUGGAAGCUUUGACACACUUAGUUACUUGCAGAACAAUAGCCCAGGCUAGGCCUGCAGGAGGUAGAGACACAGGGCUGCAUGCAGACAAAAAGCCCAGGCUUAAACCACUGUCACGCGUCCCUCUAUCAGUCCAGGCUGUGUGACUGUUUUCAGAUGUGCGUAGGGAAACGGUGUCGUACUUCCCUAUGCCUGUGCCACGCCAUGUUCUGGCAACAAAGGCCCAAGUCUCUGAGUUCGGUGCGUGGCGGCCCUCUAAUGUUGUAAAACACAUCGCUCGGUGGAGUCAUUAGCGGGGCAUCUCAUCACAGGCGAGCAGUUGAGAUCCACCGAUAAUCUAAAUUCCUGGCACAGCUACCCGACGAACAAGAACAACUUGAGUCCUCUGAAAAUGUCAAGUGCUCUUGUUAGCUCUACAGAAGUGUCGCUUUUCAAAUAGCAGCCAGCGGCUGGGGCCCUUCGAGGACGAGGACGCACUUCACUCCUGGGAGAGGGGGCUAUGCCAGCGAGAUCCCUCACAGCAAGGUGCCUUGCAGGCUUCUUUCUGGGCUGCCUCUUCCAGUGGGGGAGGGCUGGAGGGGCUCUCUGGGAGCACUCAUUUUGGUAACAAAAGAAAUAGUCAGUGAGCUUCUAAUGUAGUGGGUGGGAAUUCCUAACGGACACUCUCAAGAUGUUGACAUGACUUGUAGUGGACAGGAACUACCUCCGCUGCCCCAGCAAAGUGAGGGGGGUGAGACAGGAAGACAGUGAAUCAAAAUCACCCCAACCACCAACUGUUCCAGUCCUGAGGGAAUGGCUCUCCAGUCCUGAGAGCAUGAGAACUAUGUAACAUGUCCACUGCAUGUGACCCCUGGACCUCUUAAGUCAGGUGACCUGAAGUGUGCCCAGAAAGGUGGGACCAGUUCUAACCAGGUGCCCCCCAUCCCCAGUCACAAGUCUCCACAUGGCUUAUUCCUCUGCAGUCUGACUUGGAAGUUGGUAGAUAAUCUGGGCUGGGAGCUGGAUUCUGGAACCCCCGAGGGAUGGUACGAGACAUGGGACCCCCGUUGAAAGACCAGUUCUCUCCUUCAGCUAUGGACCCGUCAACAGUUGUGAAAAGGAACGUCAAUGUCAAUAGGACUCUGCUUAUAUGGAAUCACUCAUAUAAGUCACUUAGAAA